GAACCCUAUGGUUGGAACAAUGGGAGACAUAGGGUGCGUUCAUAAAUUCACUCUGGCUAUCUACUCCGAUUUCAGAGCACUCUCGCCAGACCACACUAUAACUGCUGAAUUUACGAAUGCUCAACACCAGUUGAAUAUGGCCGGUGUCAGUAAACGUUGGCAAAAUGCGUAAUUAUAUUGUUGCCAAUAGCACAGUUACAGUCACCAACGCUCUGGAUAACACGAAAACAGCCUAAUCAGCUCUACUUGGCAGGGAGACAUGCAGUACCAGCAAAUCUUCUGCAAGAGAACCAAACAGUUGGUGGUUAUGAAGCCCUACACCACUUUCGGCAGUCUUAUCCAGCUGGCUGUUCAUCACAGUUGUGUAGUUGCACCCUGACAGUGGCAAGUGGCAAGCAGGUCAUCCUGAUUGGUAUAAUUGGUAAGUGUGUGUUUUUUAAGGACUUUACUUCUAUUCACGUUUUUAAAGAAUGUAAUUAAUUACUUCCUAAUAAUUACUCCUGAUUCAGGGUGCUACAACCUGUCCCUGCUCUGUCCCUGCUCUGAACUGCUCCGGGUGGCACACCCUGAUCUGUUUCACCUGUCUUUGUGCUUGUCUCCACCCCCCUCCAGGUGUCACCCAUCUUCCCCAUUAUCCCCAGUGUAUUUAUACCUGUAUUCUCGGUUUGUUUGUUGCCAGUUCAUUUUGUUCGUCAAGCUUACCAGCGGUUUCCCCCUUGCGCCUGUCUUUUUCUAGUUCCUGUUUCCUGGUUUUGACCAUUCUGCCUUCCCUGAGCCUGCCUGCCAUUCUGUACCUUGUAACACCAGCCUUGAUUUUUGACCUCUCCCUGCGCUGACCCCGAGACUGCCAGCCGUUCUGUACUGUAUGGACUCUGAUCUGGAUUACUGACCUCUGCCUGCCCUUGACCUGUCGUUUUGCCUGCCCCCUGUUCUAGUAAACUUGUGUUACUUUGACACUGUUUGCAUCUGGGUCUUCUCCUGAAACAUGUUACCCGGGUGUCGGAGACAUUGGACAGUGGGGCUGGAUUAAUUUUGUAAAGAGUGGCUACCGGCCAGGAUCCGUGACUCACCAGACCAUCUUCACAGUGGACCACUUCAAGUCUUUUGAAGACAUGAAGGUGUUGGCCCCAGGAUGCUCCUGUCAAGCCUUUGUGGGAAUGCUUGACGGAAGAACAAAGCACUUUGACAGGUGGAAAGAUAUGUGGCGACACGUUCCAGAAAGCAUUCCUCGAGUGGACAUACGGGCGGUUUGAAAUAGACAAGCUUUGUGGAAGCGAUCUCCUACAUUGUCCUGAUGCAUGCUAUAUCAGUGGAUGGGAAUCGCAAGCAAUACUGCUUUCGGAAAGCCUCAGGACACACAGAGGUUGGAGCAACAUGGUCAGAUGUUUGGGAUUUAAACCAGCAACCCACCUCUCUAGGCUAUGUGAAUGUUGAGAAGGGCUUCUAUGAUGUCUUCCUGGAGAAACAAGAUGAUGUGUCAUCCUUCAUCAAACAUGUCCAUACAAAGACCAAUCAUUCUCAGGUUCUAUAACACUGCUUAAUGUCACCCAGUUUAGAGCUUGUUUCUUUUAAAGUUGAUAUCUGCACUUCACUGUGAUUUUCAUGUUGUAGACACCAGGCAAAGGAGUGUGUGGCACAUCAGAGUGGACAGCGGCCAAAGACGUCAGGAAAAUUGUCUGCCAAAGUAGAGGAGGGCCUUGAGAUAGCAGUUUGCCGACACAGCGUGCUCCUCAAGGCCCUCAACAUGUACAGAAGCAAGAUAUAUGCCAAUGUACUUGCAGAAGAAGCUGUCUUCUGCUGGCACGGUGGGUUUUUUCUGCUGCACUGUUGCAUGCAAAUACUGGCCACAUUUGAAGAUAGUUGUGCAGGCGUACCAAGAGUUGGAGGAGCUUCUAAAAAACCACCCUCUCCUCUCCACUAUUCAUGCUAAGGCACAUGAAUGGUCUUGUGAGUAUAGCACAAAUGGAGAGGCCGCAAUCAGCCUGGUGCCGGCAACACAACCGGAGAGAAGUCGGCAGGUGAAUAGUUUUAUAUCCAGAGUUGCUGUCACAACAAAUUACAUGUCCAAGACUGGUAAUUGUAUUAUGAUAACAUAACUAAUGCUGAAUAAGGUUUAGGAUUGCAACAUAAUUCCCUUAUUGUUGAACUAUUAAGUGGUCCUUUAUAUUUGAGCUCCAACACACUUCAAUGAAUAAGAUAAACCUAAUUGCCCCUCCUGGACUGUCACCUUGCCACGGUGGAGAGGCUUGCAUACUCCAAUGACCCUGAGCGCUAAGCCGGAUGGGGUUUAUACUCCCGGCAGGUGCAACCAAGCCGGCCAUGUCGAAUGGUAAGAAGCAGUCCAUGGUCCUCCAUGUGGGGCUAACUACCCCAUCCCGGAAAAAAAACAGAAACAUUGCCGAAUGGAAACCAAAUAAAUUGUUCCAAAGCAGGACAUUUUUUUGGACACAUGUUACUGCUGAAGGGAGAAGCAGACAGUGAAUGACAUUUACUUGUUGGGCAUAACUGAUGAUGCUAUGAUAUUAUUACGGACAGAGAUUAUCACACUACUGCCAAUGGGCUGGAAUAAGAGGAAGUUCACCAACAUGGAUCGCAUGUAACACUCGUCUGAAGAAGUGGACCAUAAUCAUAUUCUUUAAUGAUAACCACAAAAAGAAGAGAGAGAGAGAGAGAGAACCAACGAAACGUACAGCCUUGAAGGGCUCAACAGCAACAAUACAAGGACAAGAUCCCACAACAUAGGUGGGGGGAAAAGAAUGUCAAAAGACUGGAGGAGACCAGCCUCGCAAAAAGCGGGAAGAGCUAGACAUCAACACCGCUGUGCUACAGAAGUGGAUUACUGAGGUCCAGCAGUGGCCUGAUGACACACUUCAGGAUCGUCAGACGGGUCAUCUCCAGAAGAAGCUUGAAGGGCUUUACCACAGUGUGAAAGAGGAAACUACUUCUACCAUUUGACAGCUCACAGGCAACUGCCAUCAAAAGGCAAUCUUCAACAGACUGUUGUUAGUGAACAGACUGCAGGAGGAAGAGAGGAUCCUGGUCCGGGAGAUGAAGAGGCACUGGGGGAGCCUACAAAGAGCAGUGGGAACUGUGGCAGCACUGUACCUACAAGAUCAGAGUAAUGCAGUGGAGUUUUCAGAGGGAGGGAAGAAUGGCCUUCUCUGCCACCUGAAGAGAAGAUUGAGUGAACUGACACAAGACCAAGUUGACACCAGGAAUACCUACCACAAGCUGAUUCUGGGAGAAGGGGAUAUUUUUUUAUGACUGAUGUAGGUGAGAACUCCGAUGAAGAUAGAAGUUCUAUUGCUGAGAGCUCAGAUGACAACUGCUAUGCUUUCUGAAAUCCUACACCACCCCUGCCUCUUUCUCUCGGUCUCGCUUUCUCCCGCAGGAGAGGGAGAAGGCCGCCAACCACCUCCCUUAGGAGCAGCCUGGUCUCCUGACGUUGACCCCUCACCUUCUGAACCCAUCCAGGGAACUGUAAUUUGCCUGAUGAUGUGCUAGUGGAGAAGGAAUGUGUCAUGUUUCCUCUCCUCACCACCUCUCUUCCGGUCCUAGACUAUGGCAACAUCAUCUGCAACUCAUACUGUUGGUUGAGGACCUCUUACUGAGGAAUGUGGUUCUUCAUUAUUAUUUAUUUGUAUUUACGUCAAGUAUUUUCUAUGCUGCCAUGAUUGGGGUUUUUGUGAGUUGCAAAAGAGUCCUUGAUCUCAAUGGGACUGCUAAAAUAAAUAAAGGUCUUAACAAAUCAAUAAAUGCA